rnacentral:rRNA from 1 species
CAACUUUCAACAACGGAUCUCUUGGCUCUCGCAUCGAUGAAGAACGCAGCGAAAUGCGAUAAGUAAUGUGAAUUGCAGAAUUCAGUGAAUCAUCGAAUCUUUGAACGCACCUUGCGCCCCUUGGUAUCCCGAGGGGCACACCUGUUUGAGUGUCGUG